rnacentral:rRNA from 1 species
UACAGAGGUCCCAAGCGUUGUUCGGAUUCAUUGGGCGUAAAGGGUGCGUAGGUGGCGCGCUAAGUCAGGUGUGAAAUUUCGGAGCUUAACUCCGAAACUGCAUUUGAUACUGGCGUACUUGAGGACUGGAGAGGAGACUGGAAUUUACGGUGUAGCAGUGAAAUGCGUAGAGAUCGUAAGGAAGACCAGUGGCGAAGGCGGGGUCUCUGGACAGUUCCUGACACUGAGGCACGAAGGCCAGGGGAGCAAACGGG